ncrna:unclassified sequences DTF805b RNA
ACGGAGGAAGCCGAAAAUCCAGAAAAGAGUAGGCG